GUGUCAGCAGCCGCGGUAAUACGGAGGAGGCAAGCGUUAUCCGGAAUUAUUGGGCGUAAAGCGUCCGUAGGUGGUGAUUCAAGUCUGCUGUUAAAGCAUGGAGCUUAACUCCAUAUCGGCAGUGGAAACUGAAUUGCUAGAGUGCGAUAGGGGCAAGGGGAAUUCCCAGUGUAGCGGUGAAAUGCGUAGAUAUUGGGAAGAACACCGGUGGCGAAAGCGCCUUGCUGGGUCUGCACUGACACUGAGGGACGAAAGCUAGGGGAGCGAAAGGGAUUAGAUACCCCCGUAGUCC
rnacentral:rRNA from 1 species